UACGUAGGAUGCAAGCGUUGUUCGGAAUUACUGGGCGUAAAGCGCACGUAGGCGGCUUUGUAAGUUAGAGGUGAAAGCCCGGAGCUCAACUCCGGAAUUGCCUUUAAGACUGCAUCGCUUGAAUCAUGGAGAGGUGAGUGGAAUUCCGAGUGUAGAGGUGAAAUUCGUAGAUAUUCGGAAGAACACCAGUGGCGAAGGCGACUCACUGGACAUGUAUUGACGCUGAGGUGCGAAAGCGUGGGGAGCAAACAGG
rnacentral:rRNA from 1 species